GGAAACAAAACUUGAGAGAGUGAAGGAACGCCUGGUUGACAUAGUAAUAGUUAUACUUCAAGUCCAAGGGAAGGCGAGACUUUCGUGCCCCCAGGGCAAAUACUAGUGAAGAUGUAGAACUCUCAGCUUCUCCUGCACCAUGCCUACCUGGAUGCUGCCAUGCUCCUGAAUGCUGUCCUAAUAAGAAUUGCCUUGGUCAUGGUGUCUGUUCACAGGAGUAAAACCCUAAGACAACAAUGAAGACAUAGAAGACAAGAGGGGAUCCAUGUCAGGCAGACUGUGGACUAAAUAGCUUAUAAAACAAUAAAACAUAAUUCAUUCAUAAUUGCUUUCAGAUUUGUGCUGAAAAUGUAACUCCUUUUACCAAUAGUUUUCAUUUCUCUUAGUUAAUAAAUAUGUAAAUUUCUUAACAUA